UACGUAGGGGGCAAGCGUUGUCCGGAUUUAUUGGGCGUAAAGCGCUCGCAGGUGGUUCGAUGCGUCGUGCGUGAAAGACCCCGGCUCAACUGGGGAGGGUCGUGCGAUACGGUCGAACUGGAGGCCAGUAGGGGGAUGCGGAAUUCCGGGUGUAGUGGUGGAAUGCGUAGAGAUCCGGAGGAACACCAGCGGCGAAGGCGGCGUCCUGGACUGGUCCUGACACUCAGGAGCGAAAGCGUGGGGAGCGAUCCGG
rnacentral:rRNA from 1 species